rnacentral:lncRNA from 10 species
AGUCGCGGGGAUGAGCUCUGGGCAGGACGGCGGGCCGAGGAGCCCGGGGAGGGACCCGGAGCUCCAGGUAGAAGCUGCGGAGGUUACCACCAAAGAAUAUGAUUUUGGUCUAGGGGCUCCAGUUUCUGAAGCUGAAAACUACCAGAAUACUCUCCAGCUAGAACAAGAAGUGAGAAACCAAGAUAGAUUCAUCUCGACACUGAAAUUACAGGUUGCGUUUAGUUACAACAUAUUUUCCUGACUUAAUUUGGGGUGGGAGCCUAUUUUGAAACAAGAAGAUAGAGAAUAAAUAACUACUAAUUCAGAGCUCAUUUAAAUGUUAUGGGUCUAAAAUCAUUCAAUUUUUAUCUUAACCAUUUUGAUAAACAUAGAGUCAGAGUCAGUGAGUGCAAACUACGUGUCAAGUGUUGUGUCAGAUGUUUUCAGGUAUACAGUUUUUACUUAAUCAUCCCCAACUUGCGAAAAAGUGAUGCCGUUUCCAUUUAUAGAUGUGGAAGCUGAAGUUCUAAGAGGUUAAAUAAUUAUGACACUUGAGUAACAAGUGACAGAACUACGAUUUCUCCAAACUCCCGUGUUAGCCGGGAUUUGAACUCAAUUCUCUGAACUUCAAGUUCAGUAUUGUUCCUGUUCUCCUGAUGCUUGACAUGUAAUAUAGCUAUUAAUAAAGGCUAUUAAAAGAGAUUUCUUUUUCCAGGAAGAUAGAGUAGACUUACUUUUUUUUAUUCCUCCUGCUAAGUACAGCUAAAAACUCUGAACAUUAUGUAUAAAAGAAUUUAAGACUUUGAAAGGUGGAGAGGAGAAGGAACAUUGGCUAAGGAUCUCAAGACACAAAGAACAACAUGUUUGUUCCUGGGUUUCUUUUUCUCCGUAUGUCGCAGACAGCUGCUAGAAAAACUGGCAACUAGAAAUAACAAUAGGCACAAAAGAAAGACCGAAGAAAAGGACCAGGAAAGGAGCAGCCUAUCAAGGCAGACAACUUUUAAGAGAGUAACUAUCCACUCCAAGCAAAUACCACAGAAAAAACUACAGCCCCAUUCCUGCCAGCUCAGGCCAAGUAAAGAGCCUACACUUUCCACGCUUGCCAGACUAUAACAAGGAGCCCCACUUGUGCCUCACCUACACACUUGUGCCCCACUUGUGCCUACACCUACCCACUCCUCCCACACCAGGGUGAUAUCAGAGAAGGCUAAGUGGGAAACUAGGACUUUUAUCCUCACCAGGGGAUAAGGAGGCCCUGAACCCCGUGAUGUCAGCAGAGACAACAUGAGGAGCCAAGCCAUCUACUCCUACUUUAUAGUAAGAGGCACUCCUUCUUGCUGUGGUGGAGACCUGAACUUCUACCACCUAUCAGCAGUAAAGGCCACCCAUCCAUGGUGUCAGUGGGGGACACGUAGGGAACUGUAAUGAGGCACCUCUGGGAUUCUUCCCAGGCUGGUGGUAAUGGCAGAGGCCUAGUGGGGAGCCUGAACUCCCAUUCUUGCCUAGCAGUAUCUAGGAACACCACCCUUUCCAGAUAUCAACAGAUGCCAAGUAGAGGAACUGGACUUCUACUUUGAUCUAACAGAAAUAAGGCAAUGUCCCUUCUUUUUAGUUGGAGCAUUGUCACAGGAGGCCUGCUAAAACAUAAGAUCCAGAGUCUUACAAUGCUAGGUCUCAAUUUUUAAAAAAGGCAUUGUAAUCCAAAGAAUCAGGAAGAUUUGAGAAAAGACAAGAGAAGCCAACACUGAAAUGGAACGGAUGUUACAAUUAUCUGGCAAGGACUUUAAAGCAGUCAUAUAAAUGCUUCAGCAAGCAAUUAUGAACAUGCUGGAAACGAAUGAAGAAAAGUUGUCUCAGGAAAAAAUAAGAGAUGUAAAGAAGAACCAAAUGGACAUUUUGGAACUAAAAAAUAAAGUAACUGGUCCACACAAAAAUCAGCCUAUGAAUGUUUAUAGCAGCAUUAUUAUAAUUGCCAAAAACUUGGAAGCAACCAAGAUAUCUUUCAAUAGAUGAAUGGAUAAGCAAACUGUUGUACACCUAUACAGUGGAAUAGUAUUCAGUGUAUUUUAAAAAUGAGCUACGUAGCCAUGAAAAGACCCAGAGUGAACCUUGAAAACAUGUUACAAAGCUGAAAAGGCUACGAAAUGUAUGAUUCCAACUAUAUGGAGAUGAUAAAACUAUAGAAACCAUAAAAAGAGCAGUAGUUACCAGGAAUUGGAGGGAGAGGGGAUGAAUAGGUGGAGCACAGGAUUUUUAGGGGAGUGAAACUAUUCUGUAUGAUAUACUAAUAGUGGAUACAUGUCAUCCUAUGUGUGUCAAAACUCACAGAAUGAAUAACGCCAAGAGUGAACCCUAAGGUAAGUUAUAGAUACUAGUUAUUAAUAAUGUAACAGUAGGCCGGGCGCAGUGGCUCACACCUGUAAUCCCAGCACUUUGGGAGGCCGAGGCGGGCGGAUCAUGAGGUCAGGAGAUCGAGACCAUCCUGGCUAACACGGUGAAACCCCGUCUCUACU